rnacentral:rRNA from 1 species
AACGAACGCUGGCGGCAGGCCUAACACAUGCAAGUCGAGCGGACAUCUUCGGAUGUUAGCGGCGGACGGGUGAGUAACGCGUGGGAACGUGCCCUUUGCUUCGGAAUAGCCUCGGGAAACUGGGAGUAAUACCGGAUGUACCCUUUGGGGGAAAGAUUUAUCUGCAAAGGAUCGGCCCGCGUUGGAUUACGUAGUUGGUGGGGUAAUGGCCUACCAAGCCGACGAUCCAUAGCUGGUUUGAGAGGAUGAUCAGCCACACUGGGACUGAGACACGGCCCAGACUCCUACGGGAGGCAGCAGUGGGGAAUCUUAGACAAUGGGGGAAACCCUGAUCUAGCCAUGCCGCGUGAGCGAUGAAGGCCUAGGGUUGUAAAGCUCUUUCACCGGGGAAGAUAAUGACGGUACCCGGAGAAGAAGCCCCGGCUAACUCCGUG